rnacentral:rRNA from 1 species
AUGCUCAGCAUCAUGUCGCCUUUGAGUGCGCCGGAGGAACAGGCACCGAGUUCGCCUUUGAGUACGCCGGACGAACCGACACCAUGUUCGCCGGAAUUCUUGGUCCAGAGAAGCACUGUGAGUCCAACGGUGGCUACAACAGAGAUCCCAAAGACUGAUAGAACUCAGGUGGAGGCCAAGGAGAUUCGGCUCUCGGACAUGCCACCAGUAACACUUGAUGAUAGCAACAUGCACACUAAAACAGAUGACAUCACCGAAAUGAACAUUCGAGAGGAUUUCGAUAACCGACCUUCAAAAAAAGCAAAAAUUUCUGAAUCAGGUGUUUUGGAGACAUCACCAAUGUCACCAACUAUGUCAACAUCUAAUCCAGUUUCUGAAUGUUUUGAAUCAAUUGUGCCUGAAUUAGAUAAUCAGAUAGAUCAUGAAUCGUUGGUGAGCGUUUUGAAGGAGGAAGCAAUUAGGGUUUUCUUCGUACCGAAGCACGAGGUGUUGUGCUUGCAGAUGCACGUCAAUUCAUCCUUCCCGUUGCAACGCACGGGCAUAUGUCCUGGUAAAACAAAUAUCCAGUUGGUCGAGCACACGAUUGUGGGUGUCCAUUAUUAA